UGGGGAAUCUUGCACAAUGGGGGCAACCCUGAUGCAGCGACGCCGCGUGAGCGAUGAAGCCCUUCGGGGCGUAAAGCUCUUUCGACCGGAACGAUAAUGACGGUACCGGGAGAAGAAGCUGCGGCUAACUACGUGCCAGCAGCCGCGGUAAAACGUAGGAGGCGAGCGUUAUCCGGAUUUACUGGGCGUAAAGCGCGUGCAGGCGGAUUGGAGAGUUGGAUGUGAAAGCUCCCGGCUUAACUGGGAGAGGUCGUUCAAUACUUCCAGUCUUGAGUGCAGUAGAGGGAAGUGGAAUUCCGGGUGGAGUGGUGAAAUGCGUAGAUAUCCGGAGGAACACCAGUGGCGAAAGCGGCUUCCUGGACUGUAACUGACGCUCAGACGCGAAAGCUAGGGUAGCAAACG
rnacentral:rRNA from 1 species